rnacentral:lncRNA from 7 species
AGAGUUUCAGGAGUAUUUAGAUUUGUCGGUGGUAUCUAUACAUCGUCUUGAUGUUUGAAUGCAGCUUAAAAGGAGAUUGCUCUGGGCCAAGUGCCACCUUUCCUUUCUCCCUCUAAAAGGUCGCUGCAGGUUCCUGGGCACAAAUGGAAGCAAACUUUGUCCUUGAAAUCCGUAGGGUGACAGUGGAUGAUUUAGUUUUACUGGGUUUGGCCUACUUGUUGGCCUGGUGUCCCACGGGAGUUUAGUACAGAGAUCGGAGGCGUUGUGGUGAUGCGGAGUUGGUGACAGCACGGCUUAACAGCCUGGCGCAGUAAGAAAACAGUCAAAAACCCCAAACCAAAACAACAGGGCUGUGUGCUCCACUCGGAACUGAACAGAUACGGAUGGUCCUAAGGAGUGCUGUGCUCCCGAAUAAGAAGCAGUUUGUACGUGGGAGACGACAGUCUGUAAGAGUAUAAAGAAGGCUCCCAUUGUGUUCUCACUUGAGUAGGGCUUGGAGGAGACCAUGCUGUUCAGAGCCAAUCAGCAUGACUUCUGCAAAACCAGCGCCUGGUGUUCUGCAAGGUCCAAACUCACACCCGCGUUGGAGUGCUUCCAGCUAUGAUGAUACGACAUCCAAAGGCAAGAUAAAAUCUGAUUUUGACCUUCUUAGGAUACUUAGAGUACGAAACGAUAGCAAAUUUAUCUAGCUGUUCUGCUAAUACUGUUCUUUUGCUGUUUUGUUUCCCUCAAAUCACUUUCUAAGUCAUUACAGCCAUUUGUGAUCAAGUUCUAAGAAUACAGCACGUGUGUUUUAUCAGAGUCGAUAAAGUUUUUCUAAAAAUAGUUUUAUCAAAGCAGAAAGUAAAUGUGGAAACAUUCAGAAGAAUAGAUAAGUGAUAACACCCAUAAAACAUGCAAGUGAGUGCAAAGUCUUUCUUCCUAUGUGGACGUUAUCUACAUUAUUGUGAAAGAGCUUUUGAUCCAGAUGUUGUGGUUGUCCCAGUCGUCUUCAUUUCUCUUUCCAGUCCAUGAGUAUGGCGUUGCUUUUUGACGUUUUCUGAAGUAAAUGUGUGAGGGAGGAAGAGUUUCUGUAACUCACUGCUUGAAGUUGCUUCACUGUUUGGAUGGAGCCUGCCUAACGUUUGCUCAGUAGUGUAAACAUUUGGGCGAAUGCUCACAGGUUCAAAUAACUCAAAACCAUUUGGCUCAUGAAAUAAAAGUUUUUUCCUGCUUGAUUCCUUCCCAGAAGCUUGGGACAUGUGGUGUUACGGAUCCCUGAAGUGUCAUUUCUGAGUUGUAUGGUCUUUGCUGUGAUGCUGUGUUACAGAGGUCUUCUCGAAAAUGAAAUUAAUAAAUUAAAUCCUUUUUGUUUGUAUUUCCACAUUUUGGAUAACAGACUGUUUAGUUUCAGGGAGAGUGGUAAAUGCCUGUUCCUUUUUUCUGUGUAUUCUUGUAAUCUUGAGCAGUAGAGUGUUUUUUCAGCAGUUUUCUGGAAGUUCUUGAUGAAGGACCAGAGUUUC